CCAAAGCCAAGCAGGGACGCCAAAGGCAGCAUAAGUGUCUCAGCAGCCCUACAUGAGGCUUGACUUUAGUGCCCCGGAGAAUCCCAGCGCCAGCAGACGCAUGUUCUCAACCCGCCCGCAGCCUCCACACCCCAGCUACUGACCCAAAC